GCAAAGGCAGCAGUGGCGUGAGCAGUGGCCAAAGUCUGCACGCCAGCAGGAGAUGGCAGGGGUGACACAGCAGUGGAAAAAGUGCAGAAAUGUCAGCACCUGGGGGAACAAGGAAGGAGUAUGACAAGAGCAGAAGAACUGGAGUCCCCGGGGUAUCCCAGCAGGCGCUCGUGGGAAGUGGUAGAAAGGCAAUGAUGGGUUCCUUACCAACCUUGGACUCUCUGGCAGCCACGUGAAGCCUCUUCAGUCGGAGGGCUCUCCUCUCCUCUCCUCUCCGCUGUUGACAUGCUCUGCAUUUUUGCCAGCAAAGCCCUCCAUGGAGCCCCAAGUGAAGGACUGCAGAGCUGCUGGGUUUGUGCUGACUGCUCUUGGCAGGACCGGGAGCUCUGAG